UACGAAGGGGGCUAGCGUUGUUCGGAUUUACUGGGCGUAAAGCGCACGUAGGCGGAUCGUUAAGUCGGGGGUGAAAUCCUGGAGCUCAACUCCAGAACUGCCUUCGAUACUGGCGAUCUUGAGUCCGGAAGAGGUGAGUGGAACUCCUAGUGUAGAGGUGGAAUUCGUAGAUAUUAGGAAGAACACCAGUGGCGAAGGCGGCUCACUGGUCCGGUACUGACGCUGAGGUGCGAAAGCGUGGGGAGCAAACAGGAUUAGAAACCCUAGUAGUCC
rnacentral:rRNA from 1 species